GCUAGCUCCCACAUCGGGCGAUGAAGCAGCUCUCUUCCAGUACACAUAGUCCGCCAUGGCAGCACCUGUUGUCCCUUCGGGGACAUCCGAUAAAAUUGGAACGAUACAGAGAAGAUUAGCAUGGCCCCUGCGCAAGGAUGACACGCACAAAUCGAGAAAUGGUCCAAAUUUUUUUCUCCCCAAAAAGCUCUGCAAUGGAUCCUUUGUUUUCUUGCGAAAAUUUUUGUAUUAUUGAAGCUAAGGAUCUGCCAUUUUUUGUUUUCCUGCAACAGCAUCCCCUUCUCAACUGACUGAGAUUUGUGAAGAUCUUCUGGUUGAACUCAACCACUCAAGGUGUUAUGAUUUAAUGGAUCAGUAUUGUGAACAGAUCUCAAGCAAUCUUCCAAUCAUGAGUAAACACUAAACAGAGGCAAUGACCUGAGGAUUGCAAGGAAGCCGUGUCGACUUUGAUGUUUGCAGCAGCCAGCAAGAUUUGGCAACGUGCCAGAAUUGCGCUAUCUGUCAACCAUAUUUGCUGAGAGAUAUGGCAAUGCCCUCGAUUGUUUCGUUAACAAAGAGUUUGUUGAAAAGCUCAAGUCUGGGAGACCAUCCAAAGAUAAGAAGCUUCAGUUGAUGCAAGAUAUAGCAAGUUGUAUAAACCACCUGCAAUUAAGCAAGUAAGCUUUUUGACAAGUUUCAUGUCAAUUUUAUUGUCAUUUUUCUCCCCAAAUUGGGUGAUUUGCAGGACUCGUUCAUGAAUGGCAAUGAUCAAGCAUACAAGUUAGAUGAAAAAGCUGAGAAGAAAGGAGAGUCAGACAAAAGAGAGAAUCAUCAUCUUUCCAAUAGAAAUCCUGAAAAAGAAUCUUUAUGCUAACAGGUGGGCGACUUUGUUUGCUGACCAGUUUAGCAAACAAAAAGCUAAGAUUAGAAAAUCCUUUAGCUAUUUCCUUAACAUCAUUUAGUAAAAGAUCAAAAUAGGUGGAAAAGGAUUGAUACUUAAUAUUGUUAGUGAUCUUCAUGCAAUCUGUUUGAAUCUGAAUACCAUCCAGAUUAAUCUCCUUCAGCCAUUUGAGAGCCUCCUUGAUGCUCAGGACCUCUGCUUUGUCUGGUUUGAGGAUACCAGAUCUGGGAAUCUCCUUUGCAGCAAUGAAGGAACCAUUUUCUGCUAUUCGAUAAGGAAAUUAGUAGCACCAUUAACAGUGACUUCUGGUGGGAUGAUCACCUGAUUCCAGACCUUCUCGUUCCUCCAAGUUGAAUAGCUCAUUGUCCUCCAAGUUGUUGAAGUUGAAUUCCAGCCAGCCCAAGAAACUAGGUUAAGUUGCCAAGAUAGUUCCAACAGCUUCUAGCAAAAUGACAUGAGACAAAUAAAUGCUCUGCAGAUUCCCCUUCCAUGUUGCAUAGCUGACAAAGCAAAGUAAAUAGAGAAUCCAGUGUAGAGUCCUCCCACCCCAGAUUGUCAUGUGUAAACAGGUCUCUCACUUUCAUGUCAUUGUUUGCAUCUGUCACAGCAGGUUGAAUAGAAGGGAAAAGGUUGUUAGGUAACCAUGGGUCUCUCCAAACAUUUAUACUACUCCCAUCACCCACCCUCCAUCUAUAGUUGCUUCUAACAACAUUUUAAGCUUCCAUAAUGCUAUGCCAAAUAAAGGAUGGG